rnacentral:rRNA from 1 species
AUGGACCACCACCGGCAGAAAGUAUCAGGGACCCCCUCGGCUCAGCUCGCCGCCACCGGUAGCUCCUCCGGCCAGUCGCGGGAGAAGAUAUCUGGGACAACACCAGCGCCCUCGGUUCAGUUCGCCGUCGCUGGUAGCUCCGCCGGCCAGCCACAAUCUGCUCGAUGGCCUAUGUAUAACCAUCCACCAGAUGAUCCUGAUGAUACAGAUCAACAACAUGAUAGUGAUGCCAGAAACACUACAUAUCCAGCAGAGUUAUACACACUUGAUGAAUUCCUAGCCAAGGAGGACCUGCUAGACUCCUUCGCCGAGGAGAUUGCUGUGGAGUUGAAGGGAACACUUGAGGCUCUUCAAGCAAGAGCACUUAGCAGGAGUGGUCCAAGGAUAUAUGUGAAUAGACCGCGUGAAGAAGCACAUCAACAACUUGUACGAGAUUACUUCUGCGACAAUCCUCUCUACGGCGCCAAAAAAUUUCGGAGAAGAUUCAGGAUGAGACGACUUCUCUUUCUUCGCAUCGUCAAUGCACUAGGUGAGUGGUCUCCAUACUUCACCACAAGGAUAGAUGCGCUUAACCGUGAAGGGCUCUCUCCACUGCAAAAGUGCACGGCGGCAAUACGCCAAUUGGCUUAUGGCACACCUGCAGAUAGUCUUGAUGAAUAUCUCAAGAUUGGCGAGACUACCGCGGUUGAUUGCUUGAAGAACUUUGUGCAAGGAGUGAUUGAUACCUAUGCUGCAGAGUAUUUACGAAGCCCCAACACUGAAGAUACAGAGUGCUUGCUCUGCAUUGGCGAAGGUCGUGGGUUUCCUGGCAUGUUAGGAAGCCUGGAUUGUAUGCAUUGGCGGUGGGAAAAAUGUCCUAUUGCAUGGAAGGGCCAAUUUACUCGUGGUGAUAAAGGGUGGCCUAGUCUUAUUCUGGAGGCAGUUGCUUCACGAGAUCUCCGGAUAUGGCAUGCCUACUUUGGUAUUGCUGGGUCAAACAAUGACAUCAAUGUGCUGAAUCAAUCACCAUUGUUUAUCAAGCAGCUAAAAGGCCAAGCUCCUCAAGUGAACUUUUUUGUAAAUGACAAGGAAUAUCAACAUGGUUAUUACCUUGUAGAUGGGAUAUACCCAGAAUGGGCAGCUUUUGUGAAGACAAUAUCGAUGCCACAGACAGAGAAGCACAAGUUGUUUGCUGCACAUCAGGAAGGGGCAAGGAAGGAUGUGGAACGUGCUUUUGGUGUCUUGCAGGGUCGAUUCUCUAUCUUGCGUCGUCCUGCACGUUUGUAUGACCGGGGUGAUAUCCAGAAGGUCAUGAUAGCUUGCAUCAUUCUUCACAAUAUGGUAGUCGAGGAUGAAGAAGAAGCGGUGGCUAAUAUUCUUAAUUUGAACAAGGAGGUGGGUACAUCCAUUGUUCUACCAUCAGUAUUCACACACGGCGACAUACCGGUAUUCGCCCAGGUGCUACAAAGGGAUGCAAGAAUCCGAGAUCGCGGGACUCAUAGAGCACUCAAAACUGAUUUGGUAGAGCAUAUUUGGAAAAAGUUUGGGUCAAGAUAG